rnacentral:misc_RNA from 1 species
UUUCCGUAGGUGAACCUGCGGAAGGAUCAUUGUCGAUGCCCCACGAACCACGAAUGACCAGCGAACGCGUCCUCUGACAAACCCCGGGCUGGGAACCGCCGGCCGUGCGCGAUCGGCCCCCGGCCCAAACAACAAAACCACGACGCGGAAUGCGCCAAGGAAUCCAAACGUUAUUGUUCUCCCCGCCGUCUCCGAAGACGGAGUGCGGUCGGGGCGACGAGUGACCACAAGAGUAUAGAACGACUCUCGGCAACGGAUAUCUCGGCUCUU